rnacentral:rRNA from 1 species
CAGCAGUCGCCGCGGUAAUACAGAGGGUGCGAGCGUUAAUCGGAUUUACUGGGCGUAAAGCGUGCGUAGGCGGCUUUUUAAGUCGGAUGUGAAAUCCCUGAGAUUAACUUAGGAAUUGCAUUCGAUACUGGGAAGCUAGAGUAUGGGAGAGGAUGGUAGAAUUCCAGGUGUAGCGGUGAAAUGCGUAGAGAUCUGGAGGAAUACCGAUGGCGAAGGCAGCCAUCUGGCCUAAUACUGACGCUGAGGUACGAAAGCAUGGGGAGCAAACAGGAUUAGAUACCCCAGUAGUCCCUGUCUCUUAUAC